GACGAACGCUGGCGGCGUGCUUAACACAUGCAAGUCGAACGGAAAGGCCCUGCUUUUGUGGGGUGCUCGAGUGGCGAACGGGUGAGUAACACGUGAGUAACCUGCCCUUGACUUUGGGAUAACUUCAGGAAACUGGGGCUAAUACCGGAUAGGAGCUCCUGCUGCAUGGUGGGGGUUGGAAGGUUUCGGCGGUUGGGGUUGGACUCGCGGCUUAUCGGCUUGUUGGUGGGGUAGUGGCUUACCAAGGCUUUGACGGGUGGCCGGCCUGCGAGGGUGACCGGCCACACUGGGACUGAGCCGCGGCCCAGCCUCCUACGCGAGGCAGCAGUGGGGAAUAUUGCACAAUGGGCGGAAGCCUGAUGCAGUAACGCCGCGCGCGGGAUGUCGGCAUGCGGGUUGUAAACCGCUUUCGCCUGUGACGAAGUGUGAGUGACGGUAAUGGGUAAAUAAGCACCGGCUAACUCCGUG
rnacentral:rRNA from 1 species